AACGAACGCUGGCGGCAUGCCUAACACAUGCCAGUCGAACGAGACCUUCGGGUCUAGUGGCGCACGGGUGCGUAACGCGUGGGAACCUGCCCUUAGGUUCGGAAUAACUCCCCGAAAGGGGUGCUAAUACCGGAUAAUGUCUUCGGACCAAAGAUUUAUCGCCUUUGGAUGGGCCCGCGUUGGAUUAGCUAGUUGGUAGGGUAAAAGCCUACCAAGGCGGCGAUCCAUAGCUGGUCUGAGAGGAUGGUCAGCCACACUGGGACUGAGACACGGCCCAGACUCCGACGGGAGGCAGCAGUGGGGAAUAUGGGACACUGGGCGAGAGCCGGAUCCAGCAAGGCCGCGAAAGUGAUGAAGGCGGUAGGAUUGUAAAGCUCUUUUACCCGGGAUGAUAAGGACAGUACCGGGAGAAUAAGCCCCGGCAAACUCCGG
rnacentral:rRNA from 1 species